rnacentral:rRNA from 1 species
CGCAAUGGACGAAAGUCUGACGCAGCGACGCCGCGUGGAGGAUGAAGGUUUUCGGAUCGUAAACUCCUGUCAAGAGGGAAGAAACCUAUCGGAAUUAAUACUUUCGGUAAUUGACGGUACCUCUAGAGGAAGCACCGGCUAAUUCAGUGCCAGCAGCCGCGGUAAUACUGAAGGUGCAAGCGUUAAUCGGAAUCACUGGGCGUAAAGCGCUCGUAGGUGGCUUUGUAAGUCAGGUGUGAAAGCCCACGGCUCAACCGUGGAAUUGCACUUGAUACUGCAUCGCUAGAGUAUAGGAGAGGGAAGUGGAAUUUCUGGUGUAGGAGUGAAAUCCGUAGAGAUCAGAAGGAACACCGGUGGCGAAGGCGACUUCCUGGACUAUUACUGACACUGAGGAGCGAAAGCGUGGGGAGCAAACAGGAUUAGAUACCCUGGUAGUCCACGCCGUAAACGAUGGGUACUAGGUGUCGGAGGCUUGACCUUCGGUGCCGUAGUUAACGCGUUAA